rnacentral:rRNA from 1 species
UACGGAGGGAGCUAGCGUUAUCCGGAAUUAUUGGGCGUAAAGCGCACGUAGGCGGCUCUGUAAGUUAGAGGUGAAAGCCCGGAGCUCAACUCCAGAAUUGCCUUUAAGACUGCAUCGCUCGAAUCCGGGAGAGGUGAGUGGAAUUCCGAGUGUAGAGGUGAAAUUCGUAGAUAUUCGGAAGAACACCAGUGGCGAAGGCGGCUCACUGGACCGGCAUUGACGCUGAGGUGCGAAAGCGUGGGGAGCAAACAGG